CCCCCCGCCCGCCCCGGCACCCCUGCCCCGGGGCCGGACAGCGCUGGUGGCUCGCUCUCGGGCCACCCCCGGGCACGGGUGCGCGCGAGCACUGGGACGCGCGCGCGCGCGCGCACGCACCCUGGGCUGAACGCCCGGGCGUGCGAGCCGGGGCUCCGCGCACGCACCGAAUCUUGGACGCGAACGGGGCACCCGGCCUCUCCCUGCCUGGUGCACGAACCUACUGACACGCGUUGCACUUCAGAGUCGUGCAAACCCCUGCCCCAGCGCGGGCCAAUAGAAAAGGGUGUGAGUGAGCCUUCCUGCGUCUAGGGGGAGCAGGGGCGACGGAUAGGCUAAGGGAGCAAGACUUUCCGUGGCGCACCAGGACUGCGCACCCCCUGCGCAGAGUCGGCGCGGGGCGCUGCGCGCAGGGCCAUCCAGGCUUGCCCCAGUGUUGAAGAUGGAACUAAGGGCCUCUUGCCUGUUGGGGAGCACCCCAGCCACGACCUUCGGACCAAAACCUUGACAAUGACCAGAGAUUGCUUCACAGUGAGAAAAUACUUUCAAAAUUAUAAACUUAGUACCAAUCACGCUUUGAGAAGAAGCAAGAUAUAUCAUGUACAGGUGUAAAUCCCCUAUAAUGAAUGUUAUCAUUAUGUAUAUCUAAAAUGUAUCAAUAAAUGUUUUGCUUUAAAAGAAAAAAAAGAAA
rnacentral:lncRNA from 1 species